GAUGAACGCUGGCGGCGUGCCUAACACAUGCAAGUCGAGCGAAGCGCUGUUUUCAGAAUCUUCGGAGGAAGAGGACAGUGACUGAGCGGCGGACGGGUGAGUAACGCGUGGGCAACCUGCCUCAUACAGGGGGAUAACAGUUAGAAAUGACUGCUAAUACCGCAUAAGCGCACAGGACCGCAUGGUGUAGUGUGAAAAACUCCGGUGGUAUGAGAUGGACCCGCGUCUGAUUAGGUAGUUGGUGGGGUAAAGGCCUACCAAGCCGACGAUCAGUAGCCGACCUGAGAGGGUGACCGGCCACAUUGGGACUGAGACACGGCCCAAACUCCUACGGGAGGCAGCAGUGGGGAAUAUUGCACAAUGGGGGAAACCCUGAUGCAGCGACGCCGCGUGAAGGAAGAAGUAUUUCGGUAUGUAAACUUCUAUCAGCAGGGAAGAAAAUGACGGUAC
rnacentral:rRNA from 1 species